GGUGAUGUAGCUUAGUGUUAGAGUGCUUGCCUAGGAUGCAUGAGGCCCUGAAUUUAAUUUCCAGUUCCAUUU
rnacentral:tRNA from 1 species